GAUUAAAGCCUGUGUGUUAGGUGUUUAGCUGUUAAUUAAAAAAUUGUAGGAUAAAAGCCUACUAAUCUAG
rnacentral:tRNA from 1 species